UGAACGCUGGCGGUAUGCUUAACACAUGCAAGUCGAACGGAAACGAUACUAGCUUGCUAGUAGGCGUCGAGUGGCGGACGGGUGAGUAACGCGUAGGAAUCUGCCUGAUAGUGGGGGAUAGCCCGAAGAAAUUCGGAUUAAUACCGCAUAAUCUAUUCGUAGUAAAGUGGGGGACUUUCGAGCCUCACGCUAUCAGAUGAGCUUGCGUAAGAUUAGCUAGUUGGUAGGGUAAAAGCCUACCAAGGCUACGAUCUUUAGCUGGUCUGAGAGGAUGAUCAGCCACAUCGGGACUGAGACACGGCCCGAACUCCUACGGGAGGCAGCAGUGGGGAAUAUUGGACAAUGGGGGCAACCCUGAUCCAGCAAUACCGCGUGUGUGAAGAAGGCCUGAGGGUUGUAAAGCACUUUCAAUUGUGAAGAAAAGUUAACGGUUAAUAACCGUUAGCCUUGACGUUAACUUUAGAAGAAGCACCGGCUAACUCCGUGCCAGCAGCCGCGGUAAUACGGAGGGUGCAAGCGUUAAUCGGAAUUACUGGGCGUAAAGCGUGCGUAGGCGGUUUAUUAAGUCAGAUGUGAAAGCCCCGGGCUUAACCUGGGAACUGCAUUUGAAACUGGUCAACUAGAGUAUGGUAGAGGAAAGUGGAAUUUCUGGUGUAGCGGUGAAAUGCGUAGAUAUCAGAAGGAACAUCAAUGGCGAAGGCAGCUUUCUGGACCAAUACUGACGCUGAGGUACGAAAGCGUGGGUAGCAAACAGGAUUAGAUACCCUGGUAGUCCACGCCGUAAACGAUGAUAACUAGCCGUUGGGGGGAUUUACCCUUUAGUGGCGAAGCUAACGCGUUAAGUUAUCCGCCUGGGGAGUACGGCCGCAAGGUUAAAACUCAAAGGAAUUGACGGGGACCCGCACAAGCGGUGGAGCAUGUGGUUUAAUUCGAUGCAACGCGAAGAACCUUACCUGGUCUUGACAUCCUGCGAACUUUCUAGAAAUAGAUUGGUGCCUUCGGGAACGCAGUGACAGGUGCUGCAUGGCUGUCGUCAGCUCGUGUCGUGAGAUGUUGGGUUAAGUCCCGUAACGAGCGCAACCCCUAUCCUUAUUUGCCAGCACGUCAUGGUGGGAACUAUAAGGAGACUGCCGGUGAUAAACCGGAGGAAGGCGGGGACGACGUCAAGUCAUCAUGGCCCUUACGACCAGGGCUACACACGUGCUACAAUGGGAAGGACAAAGAGCCGCGAAGCCGCGAGGUGUAGCUAAUCUCAGAAACCUUUUCGUAGUCCGGAUUGGAGUCUGCAACUCGACUCCAUGAAGUCGGAAUCGCUAGUAAUCGUAGAUCAGAAUGCUACGGUGAAUACGUUCCCGGGUCUUGUACACACCGCCCGUCA
rnacentral:rRNA from 1 species